rnacentral:rRNA from 1 species
AUACGGAGGGUGCGAGCGUGUCCGGAAUCACUGGGCGUAAAGGGCGCGUAGGCGGCCUCUUAAGGGUGCGGUGAAAGUCCGGGGCUCAACCCCGGAUCGGCCGUGCCGACUGAGAGCUGGAGCACUGUAGAGGCGGAGUGGAAUUCCGGGUGUAGCGGUGGAAUGCGUAGAGAUCCGGAAGAACACCGGUGGCGAAGGCGGUUCGCUGGGCAGUGGCUGACGCGAGG